rnacentral:lncRNA from 1 species
UUCUCUAUUGCUGCCCUUGCUCAGUGUCAAACCUUGCUCUGUUGAUGCUGACUGCUAUUGAUGCACACGUCAUGCUUAUUGAUACAUUUGUACCUAUUGUAACUAAUUAGAGAAAUAAAAAGAUAAUUUUUAUAAGUCAGCCAUUGUACAUAUUAUACAUAGCAAAGAGACAAACUUUUGAGUUUUUAAAAAGAACUAAAGGACAAAUAAAAGCGCAACAAAUGAACAGAUGAAAAAAUAUAGGCUAAAACCAUGAAUGCUUCAGAUGUGUAGAAAAAUGCAGAUGAUGAGCAAAAGAAAAUAAGCAUCAAACAAGGAACUAGAAAGCUCAAACUCAAACAGAGGCACAAACAAAGAAAGCAACUGAACAAUUAAAGAAAACUCUAUAAAUAGAGUCUCGUUUUUUCAGAAAAAAAGGAGGGAGUUUUUUUUUUUUUUUUGAGGGAGAUCAGUGAAAAAGACUUUUAGUUUGAAUGUUUUGAAACAUGAGAUGAUUAAUAGAAAAAUCAAAUUUGUGUGUGAAAACGAAAAGAAUAGAGAAAAGGAGAAAACUCAAACCUUCGUACUGUCACCAUAGCCGUUGGAACAACAACUGUGCUUUUCAGCAACGGCCGCACCCUCCUCCUUGGUCUCUUCUCCUUCUCGCGGCCUCAUCUUGGUAUCUUUUCGCCUCUUUCUUCUUUUUAUUUCUUUC